rnacentral:rRNA from 1 species
GACGUAGGGGGCAAGCGUUGUUCGGAAUUAUUGGGCGUAAAGCGCUCGUAGGCGGGACAGGAAGUUCGUGUUGAAAGACCUCGGCUCAACUGAGGGACCGGCUCGAAUACUCUUGUUCUUGAGGCAAUCAGAGGGUGAUGGAAUUCCCGGUGUAGCGGUGAAAUGCGUAGAUAUCAGGAGGAACACCGGCGGUGUAGACGGCUUACUGGACCAUAACUGACGCUGAGGCACGAAAGUGUGGGGAGCAAACAGG